GUCUGUAGCUCAGGGGUUAGAGCAGGGGACUCAUAAUCCCUUGGUCGUGGGUUCGAUCCCCACUGGACC
rnacentral:tRNA from 2 species